rnacentral:rRNA from 1 species
GAUGAACGCUGGCGGCGUGCCUAAUACAUGCAAGUCGAGCGAACAGACGAGGAGCUUGCUCCUCUGACGUUAGCGGCGGACGGGUGAGUAACACGUGGAUAACCUACCUAUAAGACUGGGAUAACUUCGGGAAACCGGAGCUAAUACCGGAUAAUAUAUUGAACAGCAUGGUUCAAUAGUGAAAGACGGUUUUGCUGUCACUUAUAGAUGGAUCCGCGCCGCAUUAGCUAGCUGGUAAGGUAACGGCUUACCAAGGCAACGAUGCGUAGCCGACCUGAGAGGGUGAUCGGCCACACUGGAACUGAGACACGGCCCAGACUCCUACGGGAGGCAGCAGUAGGGAAUCUUCCGCAAUGGGCGAAAGCUUGACGGAGCAACGCCGCGUGAGUGAUGAAGGUCUUCGGAUCGUAAAACUCUGUUAUUAGGGAAGAACAAAUGUGUAAGUAACUAUGCACGUCUUGACGGUACCUGAACAGAAAGCCACGGCUAACUACGUG